AUGAAAUUGUAGAUAGAGAUAUCAUAAGAUAAGAACCAACCAUAUUCCCUCCCUCCUAUAUAUAAGUGUUAUUAAUCACAAUUGAACAUAAAUCAUCACACAACAACCAUCAAAAUACACUUCAUUUCUUUUUAUUAAUAUUAAAUCAUGGCUGCUUCAUCCAUGGCUCUUUCUUCCUCUACUUUCGCCGGUAAGGCGGUAAAACUCUCACCAUCUUCUUCUGAAAUCACCGGAAAUGGGAGAAUUACCAUGAGGAAGAGUGUUGCCAAGGCCAAGCCUGCCUCCUCUGGUAGCCCAUGGUAUGGUCCUGACCGUGUUAAGUACUUGGGCCCAUUCUCUGGUGAAGCCCCAAGCUACUUGACUGGUGAGUUUCCUGGUGACUACGGAUGGGGACACUGCUGGACUUUCAGCUGACCCUGAAACAUUCGCUAAGAACCGUGAGCUUGAGGUGAUCCACUGCAGAUGGGCCAUGCUUGGUGCUCUUGGAUGUGUUUUCCCUGAGCUUUUGGCCCGUAACGGUGUCAAGUUUGGCGAAGCUGUAUGGUUCAAGGCUGGAUCCCAAAUUUUCAGUGAGGGUGGACUUGACUACUUGGGCAACCCAAGUUUGGUCCAUGCACAAAGCAUCUUGGCUAUCUGGGCUUGCCAAGUUGUGUUGAUGGGAGCCGUUGAGGGUUACCGUAUUGCUGGUGGACCUCUUGGUGAGGUUGUUGACCCACUUUACCCUGGUGGUAGCUUUGACCCAUUGGGCCUUGCUGAUGACCCAGAGGCUUUUGCUGAGCUCAAGGUUAAGGAAAUCAAGAAUGGCAGACUUGCUAUGUUCUCCAUGUUUGGAUUCUUUGUCCAAGCUAUUGUCACCGGAAAGGGUCCAUUGGAGAACCUUGCCGACCACCUUGCUGACCCAGUUAACAACAACGCUUGGGCCUUUGCCACAAACUUUGUUCCCGGAAAGUGAGCUUAACAAAAUGUUGAUCUCUAAUCUCCAGUUAGUGGAGAUUAUGAGUUUUUAGCUUUGUGAGAGAUGAAUCUAUAGAAGGGGUCAGUUUUUUAAAAGCAUUCUGGGUUAUGGGUUCAGUACAAGAUUAUUGUAAUGUGGUGUAAAUUGGUUUGGAUUAAUUAAUGAAGAACAAGUUAAUCUUUUCAUAUA